CAGUCGCCGCGGGAAUACGAAGGGUGCAAGCGUUAAUCGGAAUUACUGGGCGUAAAGCGUGCGUAGGCGGUGAGUUAAGUCUGCUGUGAAAUCCCCGGGCUCAACCUGGGAAUGGCAGUGGAUACUGGCUCGCUAGAGUGUGUCAGAGGAUGGUGGAAUUCCCGGUGUAGCGGUGAAAUGCGUAGAGAUCGGGAGGAACAUCAGUGGCGAAGGCGGCCAUCUGGGACAACACUGACGCUGAGGCACGAAAGCGUGGGGAGCAAACAGGAUUAGAUACCCCCGUAGUCCCUGUCUCUUAUAA
rnacentral:rRNA from 1 species